GAUGAAGAACGUAGCGAAAUGCGAUAAGUAAUGUGAAUUGCAGAAUUCAGUGAAUCAUCGAAUCUUUGAACGCACCUUGCACCCUUUGGCAUUCCGAAGGGUAUGCUCGUUUGAGUGUCAUUGUACUCUCACUCUCCCGAUGCUUUUGGAUCGGGAGUGGUGGACUUGGGUGUUGCUGCUUUGCUGUGGCUCGCCUCAAAUGGAGUAGUGCAACUCUUGGUUGGACAUAGUACGGCGUGAUAAGUGUCUUCGCCGGCGCCUCAUUAUAGAGGGUGGCCGAUCGGGAGCUCUGUGCUUCAAACCGUCUUCGGACAACAUCUGACAACUUGACCUCAAAUCGAGUAGGACUACCCGCUGAACUUAAGCAUAUCAAUAAGGAGGA
rnacentral:misc_RNA from 1 species